ACAGUCCCCGCGUCCUCUCGCACUCGGUCCGCCCCUCUCACCGAUGGCGCCGUCCGUGUCCGCCUGCCUCUGCCGUCUCCUUCCUCGCUCAUCUUCUUCUCCCCGCUCACGGCCUUCACUCCCCUCUCUGUCCCCGUCUGACCCAGAUGCGCCCGUAGUCCGCCGGCGCCAGCGGCGCCGCAGGUGGAGCAGACGCGGCUAGGAGGAGCACGAGCCACCGCCGCCAUCUACCCGACGGCGAUGUGAAGGAAGCAACCAGAGAUGGAGGGCGCCGCCGGCGCUGUGACCCCGGGCGGGCCAAACGGGGUGUGCGACACCAACAGCCUGCCAGUGUGUGCUCGCCUCCGCAGGUUCGCGCCGCGGUCGCCGGAGGAGUGGGCACCGCAGCGUCGAGCAAGGCUACCCUGCUCACCUAGGGAUUUUCCUCCAUGGCCGCCAAACUAAAUGUCUCAGUCCCAGGGCAGUGGCGGAGCUACGGGCCAAUGGUUGGGCGGGCCAACUAGAGAAGCGCACAUGAAUUUUUGCACUCGCGACCUAUUUCUCUCUCAGACACAUUGAUUUGAACAAAUCUGGGCGGGCCACUGCCUUGUUUUGCUUCGACAAAGCUCCGCCUUGCCCAGGUGAACUCGUGCACCUUUUGAACCUGCUCUCUACCACGAUUCAUAUUUUUCUGCAUCAGUUUCAUUCCUACAAGUGAUGAAUUGUCUAUUUGCCACAUUGCUGCCCCAGGUAUGUCCCAAGUGAACUGGCUUAUUGCGAUGAUUUGGUCGAUUCAGACUUCUCUUUAUUUUGAAUGGCUUUCACCUUUGGGCAAUUCAAUUGAUGGAAGGUGUUGUUUCAAUGAUAUUGAAGCUUUUUUAGGGAAUGGCGUUCUCGAUGGCCGGGAGGGACCGGCUCGGCCUCCAUGGCCUGCUCCCGACCAGUGUCGUUUCCUUGCAGCAGCAGAUGACCGAUUCCCUGCCGGUUCAGUUCCUUCCUUGCUUACCACUCAACUGACAGCCAUCAUUGGUAUCGUGCUCUGGCUCCCUAUUUCUCAUUGCUAAGGAGAAGCAUGUCCACGAGUUUGCAAUGGUGGGUGGCACAUCCAUUGGUCAAGAUCGAGGACAGUGGCCUCGACAGCGUGCUGGUGGUGGCCUGAGUACCAUCUAUCGGUGAGGGGAAACGCAGGCCUACCCCUUCUUGACAGUACUCUCAAGUUUAGUCAUUGCAUUUACUGAUGUCGAGGUGGACGAGGAUCUUCUCGGCCCUGCUCUGAUAUUGUGAAAACUCAUGCUGCCGACAGCCGCCUCCAUGCUCCAACUGCUGCAGCCUGUAGUAUAAGCUCGCAUUGAUCCUCGGUGGUGAGAAAAGUUUACUACUACAAGUCCAGUUUGUUUAGUGUCCCAGAAAAAGUUGACUACUCAUGCAUGCUAGACACACAACUUAUUUGAUUCCUAUUGCCAUAUAUCAACCUAGCUGAACUAAAGAGCAAGGUAAAUCAGUACUUCCAACUACACUAAAUUGUUGCUUCCACAAAAUACCUUGCUGAUUUCUAUCCACUCAGAGCAGAUCAUAACCCUUUUCAUGGAAUAAUGUAUAAGUUUAGAUCUGAAUAGAUGCUAAGGCAUAAUCAAUAUCGAAUAUCUGUUGGUAACUUGGUAUACAUUCCAGAGUUAUCAUUAUAAAGAGCAAGGGUUUAUGCCUUUCCAAAUUAAUUAUGUAUUUUAUCCUUGAGGCUUCUUCUGUUAAUGUAAAUGCUCUUCCUUACCGGUAUGUAGGGUUAUAUGUAUGUUUAUAGAUUUUAUUCAUUUUUUAUUUUAGUGCAUUAAAAUUGUGAUGUCCUUUCUUACUAUCAUAUUGUUUGCUUAAAACAAAGACUGAUAAACCUUCUCCCAUUGUAUCCACUCCCGUAUCGUUAUUCUUCACUGGAAAUUUAUGGGCAAGUGUGAAGAAAUGAGAAUGUAGUUCUUAAACUAAAAUUUCUAUAAACAUGGAAAGUGGAAGUUUUAUUAUUAUUUUUCAUAAAGUUUCAGGCACGACAAACUAUGGGGGUCCUAAUAUUUUCCUUUCAUUUAAUUUGGCUUAUAAAGAUUUCCAGUGGGCAUUUAGGCGGUUAGGCCUAAGAACUUCCUUAUGAAUUUAUCACAGAAAUGAGAUAACAAAAGAUCUAAAUUGCUUUUUGUUCUUUGUUUAUUUUUGAAAGACUUAGCAUGUCAUGUAGGACUGGUUGGUUGUGUAAUGGCCUCUAACAAGCAGAGGAAAGGAAUGAUUAUAUAAUGAUAUUGGAAAGAGGACCAACUAAUAUUGAUAAAGACUUGUCUUUUCUUUUGUUCGGACUAUACUGAAUAAGAAUACACAAGAAAGACCAGGACUAACAUAAGUGAAAAAUGUUAACAAUAUUUAGUCUGUCCAGUCAUCAAAACAUGAAACUUGUUUCUGGUUCCACUCUAAUAAUCGCCUUCAAAAACCAAAGUUGAAACAGUUAUCAUUUAAUCAUUUACAGUCAUGUUGUACAUGCUGGUUGAAGCAAGCGACAAUCCGGCAGUAGCAGUUGGCGGUGAGCUUUUUCAGAUUUCCGCCUCUGAGUGAUCAGUUUAUGAAGGCAAGAUUAAACCAGCCUUAAAUCUCAUUUCCUAUAAAGUUUUGCUGUAGAGUGGUCAGUUUUUGCAUGUCUAUUACUUGCAUAUUAAAAAAACCCGUCUUACCACUCUCCCCUGAAGGAAUACCAUCUUUUUAUGAAUUUUUUUGUUUACCAUUAAUGCUUUCAUGCUUGAUCGUUCUUGAUAAAAUGUCACUCUACCUCACGGGGUGCAAUAUGGCAUUAUCUAAUGCUCAAUGGAAAUAGGUCUUAGCAUCAAGUAGUAUAAACAUCAUAAGGAAUGAUGGGAUAUUGAUUACAAAAACACCAUCAGCAUGGCAGACUUUGUCUUGUGAGAAAUAUAAUAAACUAAAAAACAGUCUGUUGCUAGUCUCUAAUUUCACAUGGAUAUUUGGAUUUUGGGAUGCAUGUGUAGUUUCAGUAAUGACAUAAUUUUUGCAACUUGAAGGACAAACUAGACACUUUAAUCAAGCAAAUUAAGAAGGAUAAAAACAGGGCAGGUGAGUCCAAAGAUAUAUCAGAUGUUAAGGACAUCUGCAUUCUUCUAGAGGCUAUACAGACAAAAUCUGGACAAUAUACCCCUCCACAGCAGACAUGGGAGCUCGAGUGCAACACGCGCAAGAUUCUAUUUGGAACACGCAAGCAUGAAAAGGUGUUGCAGGCGUCCAAUCGAGCUCCGCAGCAUCGAGUGCCUUGCUGUUUAUGUAGAUGUGGUACAUGUCUGAAUUUGUGCUCUCUUUUGGUAGAUAUAUGGUACGUAAAGACGGAUCACAUCACUGUCUGUUUAAAUGCAUGAAAUCCGGUACUGAAUUGUCUAAGUUACUGUCUGAGAUUCAAUUUGUGCUUCAUUUUACUUGAUGUGGUAUGCAAUGACAAGGCGGAACAUGUAUAAUUUUUGGUGCCAACACUGGGGGAUCACACUGUUUCUGCUUCAGACGAGUGUUGUUUGAUCAAGUAUUUGUUGGCAACUGUUUCUUAGACAGUCAACUAGCUGUUGUUGUGCAACCUAUCCAGCCUUUUGAUACUCUCUUUGAUUUUUGAUCCAUUUUUUGUGUCUGAUCGGGCUUACAAGUGCUGCUACCAAAGGAUUUAUGUAUAUGGCAGACCUGAUAAAGUCUUAACUGUUUAUGUCUUCAGAAUACUGGAUCAGGCACAAUGUUUAACGACUCUAAAUUUGGUGGUUCAGUUUCA